rnacentral:tRNA from 1 species
GCCCCUGUAGUAUAGCCUGGAUAGAAUGGGAGCUUGCGGAGCUCUAGACCGGGGUUCAAAUCCCCGCAGGGGCA